GCUGCCAUUGAGGAGCAUUUACUCAGUGAGUGCAAGAGGUUUGUUUGAAACAGACCGCAAUGGAGAGAUCAGCGCCCAGGGAAGCGAGGGAACAGCAGGCUCCUUCCAGCAGCACAUCGGGAUGGGAGCCUGGGACACAGAGGGGGCUCCAAGACCGGGAUUGAUUCGGGGAUGUAGUCAUCUCUGCCAAGAUGGGAAGUAGAUGCAAUUCUGAAAUGUCCUUGAACCAAUCGGCUUGCUCAGCCAGAAGGCAGUGAAGAAUUUGCAAAGGGUUAGGAAUCACGUGCAGAGCAGAGUGGAUGCUGCCAGACCUACUGAGUGUCUGAGGCAAUUUUUAGAGUGUUCAUGUUAAGUCUUCAGCUGCACCCCAGUGAAGAACAAGCAUGGAUCAUGGAUGAAGAAUGGAUUACCUGGCACUGUGAGGCAGAUGGAAUUACUGGUCACAUUAGAUAUUAUUCCACUGGGACCCCUGUUGAUCACGAGACACUGGUACCAGCCUUUGUACUGGGACUGGAAGGAUUCAAUGGUCUUCUGUCCUGUCUGAGCUCGAGUUGUAAUUCCCACUGCAUUGUUUAAGGCUUUCUGUUGAAAGUACCAUUGAAAGAAGGGUCCAGUACCUCGGCUCAGUACACACUCUGGAAUGAGACAACUCCCAAUCAGAACCUCCAUUUUCUUGGCUCUGGGGGUGAGGAAUACCCCAGCAACAGGAACUGAAACAAAAUAAGACAAAGAGGAAAUGAAAGACCGGACGCUGAAAUUCUCUCUCUUGUCACAAUGUUGCCUUCGAUGACUGGAUAAU